CAAUAGCGUAUAUUUAAGUUGUUGCAGUUAAAAAGCUCGUAGUUGGAUUUCUGGUUGAAGCGACCGGUCGGGCGUUGAUUCGUCUGCACUGGAGUCGGUUUUGGCCAUCCUCUAGGAAAGUGCGUCUGGUAUUAAGUUAUCGGGCGUAUGAUCCUGGUCUUUUACUGUGAAAAAAUUAGAGUGUUUAAAGCAGGCCUUCGCCUUGAAUACAUUAGCAUGGAAUAAUAAGAUAGGACUUUGGUCUAUUUUGUUGGUUUGCAGACCGAAGUAAUGAUUAAUAGGGAUAGUUGGGGGUAUUUAUAUUCCGAUGUCAGAGGUGAAAUUCUUAGAUUUUCGGAAGAUAAACUUAUGCGAAAGCAUUUACCAAGGAUGUUUUCAUUA
rnacentral:rRNA from 1 species